UACAGAGGUCUCGAGCGUUGCUCGGAUUCAUUGGGCGUAAAGGGUGCGUAGGCGGCGCUGUAAGUCGGGUGUGAAAUCCUGAGGCUUAACCUCGGAACUGCAUUCGAUACUGCGGUGCUUGAGGACUGGAGAGGAGACUGGAAUUCAUGGUGUAGCGGUGAAAUGCGUAGAGAUCAUGAGGAAGACCAGUGGCGAAGGCGGGUCUCUGGACAGUUCCUGACACUGAGGCACGAAGGCCAGGGGAGCAAACGGG
rnacentral:rRNA from 1 species